GACGAACCGUGCGAACGUUAUUCGGAAUCACUGGGCUUAAAGCGCGUGUAGGCGGGAGGGAACGUCGGCCGCUGAAAUCCCCCGGCUUAACCGGGGAAGGGGCGCCGAUACGGCCUUCCUGGAGGGACGUAGGGGGAGCUGGAACUUCCGGUGGAGCGGUGAAAUGCGUUGAGAUCGGAAGGAACGCCCGCGGCGAAAGCGAGCUCCUGGACGUCUGCUGACGCUGAGACGCGAAAGCCAGGGGAGCGAACGGG
rnacentral:rRNA from 2 species